GACGAACGCUGGCGGCGUGCUUAACACAUGCAAGUCGAACGUGAUUUUUGUGGCAAUUCUUUCGGGACUGGAGAUGAACUGCAAGUGGCGAACGGGUGAGUAACACGUGAGCAACCUACCUUACACAGGGGGAUAGCCGUUGGAAACGACGAUUAAUACCGCAUGAGACCACAGAAUCGCAUGAUAUAGCGGUCAAGGAUGUAUCGGUGUAAGACGGGCUUGCGUCUGAUUAGCUAGCUGGAAGGGUAUAGGACGACCAAGGCGACGAUCAGUAGCCGGUCGGUGACGGGGAACGUUGGCAUUGGGAUAGGGACCAGGUUCCAACUCGUGGCAGCGGUAGCAGUGGGGAAUAAUGCACAGUGGGGGGAACCCUGUAGCGGCGAGGGCGCGAGAGCGAAGAAGGGGUUCGAAUCGUAAAGCGCUGGCGAAGGAGAAGAUAUGGACGGUAUCAGAGGAGGAAGCCCCGGUAAAAUACGU
rnacentral:rRNA from 1 species